CCCGCACAAGCGGAGGAACAUGUGGUUUAAUUCGAUGAUACGCGAGGAACCUUACCUGGGCUUAAAUGCAGAGUGCAUGGAGUGGAAACACUUCUUCCCUUCGGGGCUCUUUGCAAGGUGCUGCAUGGUUGUCGUCAGCUCGUGCCGUGAGGUGUCGGGUUAAGUCCCAUAACGAGCGCAACCCUUAUCGUUAGUUGCCAGCGGGUAAAGCCGGGAACUCUAGCGAAACUGCCGGUGUAAACCGAGAGGAAGUGGGGAUGACGUCAAAUCAGCACGGCCCUUAUGUCCAGGGCUACACACGUGUUACAAUGGCCGGUACAGAGGGCAGCUACCUGGAGACAGGAUGCGAAUCUCGAAAGCCGGUCUCAGUUCGGAUCGGAGUCUGCAACUCGACUCCGUGAAGCUGGAUUCGCUAGUAAUCGCGCAUCAGCCAUGGCGCGGUGAAUACGUUCCCGGGCCUU
rnacentral:rRNA from 1 species